UCCCUGUUGGUCCAGUGGUUAAGACUCUGCACUUCUGAUGUAGGGGGCGCAGGUCUGAUCCCUGUUAGGGGAG
rfam:Ovis aries breed Texel chromosome 13, whole genome shotgun sequence.